CUUUAUAUUUAACUCUGUUUGUAACACUAGUAGAGUUUUAUUUGUGCGUGAAAUUGGAAAUUAUUAGCCGGUAGUCAUCAAUAGUUCCAGCUGUCUAAUUCUCCACCGAAUUGAAAAACGUUUACCGCACGUUUAGGAACAAGUUAGGGUUGAAGAUAUUUGAACCGUAUCCCUUUUUCAAUUGAAAUCUGAAUUUCAAUUUAAUAAAGUGUUCCGCUUAAAACUGUGUAACGUUUGGGAAGAAAUGUUUUCAAAGCGGGCAUACUUUCGAGGCACAGAAAUACGCCAGCUUACAUCGAUCUCUAACAGAAGCUAAAGCUUUCGAAACAACGUGGAAUUGUUAGUUUCAAUUCCUAAUUUCAUGAUAAAAAGUAUACAUAACGAAAUGGUUGAUGGGAGUGGGCGAAACCAAGAUGUCAUAUCUGCCCGCCAUCUUUGUUAUAACCUAUAAUAAAUAUGAACGAAAAAAAAGUUGCUUAAUCGAAGUGCGAGCAGCGUCAAAAUUUCGUCGUAGGCGUUCCGGAGAGCCCGGUAUGUUCGUUGUUACAAAACGUCGGCCUUCGGCCGCUCCCACCAAGUCAGACCUCAGUCCAGAGUUCUCUACUCGUGUACCUUGGUUUCGUCAUCGGUGCAGACAACAAGUUCCCGGGGUUUGCUCGGAUAAAGUUCUAAACACCGGGACGAUAUAACAAAACCACCUAACCGGCUAAAACGGACAUCCCGACAUAAUAUGCACAGCCUCUCGAGUCUCUGCUUUAUCGGCCGCUGAUAUGACUCUAUAGCGCGGAACUUGGCACGUAGGCUUUGUUUUUUCCCAUGAUCUGAUUCCCAAGUCCUAAGAAUAGGAUGAAUAUCAUCUUGUCAUUGAUAUAUUUAAUCAUUGCGAUCAUCAUCUGGAUGACAUCAUUAAUUGAUACUUAAAAAUUAACAAUAUUAGUUUAUUUAAUUGAAAUUUAGUAUCAUCAACAGUGGCUACAUUUCCGAAGCGUACACGGUUUCUUUUUUAUUUCAAAAUGGAUAA